CUACGGGGGGCUGCAGUGGGGAAUAUUGCACAAUGGGCGCAAGCCUGAUGCAGCCAUGCCGCGUGUAUGAAGAAGGCCUUCGGGUUGUAAAGUACUUUCAGCGGGGAGGAAGGGAGUAAAGUUAAUACCUUUGCUCAUUGACGUUACCCGCAGAAGAAGCACCGGCUAACUCCGUGCCAGCAGCCGCGGUAAUACGGAGGGUGCAAGCGUCUAUCGGAAUUACUGGGCGUAAAGCGCACGCAGGCGGUUUGUUAAGUCAGAUGUGAAAUCCCCGGGCUCAACCUGGGAACUGCAUCUGAUACUGGCAAGCUUGAGUCUCGUAGAGGGGGGUAGAAUUCCAGGUGUAGCGGUGAAAUGCGUAGAGAUCUGGAGGAAUACCGGUGGCGAAAGCGGCCCCCUGGACGAAGACUGACGCUCAGGUGCGAAAGCGUGGGGAGCAAACAGGAUUAGAUACCCCCGUAGUC
rnacentral:rRNA from 1 species